CACUUCUAAGGAAGGCAGCAGGCGCGCAAAUUACCCAAUCCUGACUCAGGGAGGUAGUGACAAGAAAUAACAAUAAACCGGCUUAUGCCGGUUUAAUUGGAAUGAGUACAAUUUAAACAUCUUAACGAGGAACAAUUGGAGGGCAAGUCUGGUGCCAGCAGCCGCGGUAAUUCCAGCUCCAAUAGCGUAUACUAAAGUUGUUGCAGUUAAAAAGCUCGUAGUUGGAUUCUGUGGGGACGGAGCGGCCGGCCGCACAUCGCGGUUCGAGCUAGCGCUUUCCCUACAUCCUGCCGCGAACCGUGCUACCAUUAAUUUGGUGGCGCCGGGGAUCGGCUCGAUUACUUUGAGAAAAAUAGAGUGUUCAAAGCAGGCCACAUGCCUUGAAUAAGUUAGCAUGGAAUAAUAACUAAGGACUUCGGUUCUAUUUUGUUGGUGUUCGGGACUGAAGUAAUGAUUGAUAGGGACAGUUGGGGCGGUCUGUAUUCCAAAGCGAGAGGUGAAAUUCUUAGACCUUCGGAAGACAAACAGCUGCGAAAGCGUUCCGCAAGGAUGUUCCCUUUGAUCAAGAACGAAAGUUGGGGGAUCGAAGACGAUCAGAUACCGUCGUAGUCUCAACUAUAAACUAUACCAGCUAGGGAUCGGCCAACGUUAUUUUAUACCGACUUGGUCGGCACCUUAUGAGAAAUCAAAGCAUCUGGGUUCCGGGGGGAGUAUGGUCGCAAGGCUGAAACUUAAAGGAAUUGACGGAAGGGCACCACCAGCCGUGGAGCCUGUGGCUUAAUUUGACUCAACACGGGAAAACUUACCAGGUCCAGACAUAGUAAGGAUUGACAGAUUGAUAGCUCUUUCUUGAUUCUGUGGGUGGUGGUGCAUGGCCGUUCUUAGUUGGUGGAGUGAUUUGUCUGGUUAAUUCCGUUAACGAACGAGACCCCAGCCUGCUAAAUAGCGCGCGUGAGCUUUGCUCGCGGCGAGCUUCUUAGAGGGACUCUGAUGCGCGAUAGCACAUGGAAGUUUGGGGCAAUAACAGGUCUGUGAUGCCCUUAGAUGUUCUGGGCCGCACACGGGCUACACUGGCGCCUGCAACGAGCAUAUCAGCUGGCCCGAGAGGGUCUUGGCUAAUCUUUUGAACCGGCGCCGUGCUUGGGAUUGACCUUUGCAAUUGUUGGUCAUGCAACGAGGAAUGCCUUGUAAACGCGAGUCAUCAGCUCGCAUUGAAUACGUCCCUGCCCUUUGUACACACCGCCCGUCGCUCCUACCGAUGAAUGUUCCGAUGAAAUUUUCGGAGAGCACCUGUGAACUUGGCUCUGCCUUGCGAACGGGAGGCUCAAAGUCACUUAAAUCUGAACAUUUCGAGG
rnacentral:rRNA from 1 species